UACGUAGGGUGCGAGCGUUGUCCGGAAUUAUUGGGCGUAAAGGGCUCGUAGGCGGUUUGUCGCGUCGGGAGUGAAAACCUCGGGCUUAACUCGGGGCUUGCUUUCGAUACGGGCAGACUGGAGGUAUGCAGGGGAGAACGGAAUUCCUGGUGUAGCGGUGAAAUGCGCAGAUAUCAGGAGGAACACUGGUGGCGAAGGCGGUUCUCUGGGCAUGACCUGACGCUGAGGAGCGAAAGUGUGGGGAGCGAACAGG
rnacentral:rRNA from 1 species